UUAGUGAUGCGUGGCGAGGUUAACCCGUGGUGGGGGAGUCGUAGCGAAAGCGAGUCCGAUAAGGGCGUGAGUCGCGUGUUCUAGACCCGAAGCGGUGUGAUCUAUCCAUGGCCAGGAUGAAGCGUCGGUAAGACGUCGUGGAGGUCCGAACCCACUUCAGUUAAAAAUGGAGGGGAUGAGUUGUGGAUAGGGGUGAAAGGCCAAUCAAACACCGUGAUAGCUGGUUCUCCCCGAAAUGCAUUUAGGUGCAGCGUU
rnacentral:rRNA from 1 species